AUGAGUCAUGCGAUACUGUCCUGGAUCGUUGUGACGCAUUUCCGAUGCGAGAUGAGAUAGGUAAUAUUUAAAAAAUAUUUCGGCUGUGGUGUGGGGAAAAUAAGUUUAAACUGCCAAAUCUACCAAUUUUUUAUGUGUGUGUUAAGAUAGUGCAAGUGAGAGCAUGCUAUUUUACGCGCGUUAAAACACUGUUAUUCAAACAUAAAUAUUUCGCGUUCUAGAUCGAAUUUAAAAAAUCCCCCCGAGGAAAUUAAAGAAGAAAGCAUGCUUUAUCAGAAUUUCUCAGUUUUGGAGUAAAAAGUUUAAUAUCGAAUGUCACGGAGGGCGUAGAACAAGGUGUUAUUUUCACACUCCUUUUGUUUAUAUGUUUCGAAUUUCAAGCAUUCUGAUUGGUCAAGGACGCAAAAUGUAAACAAACGCGCUGAUUGGCUAACAUUAUUUACCCUUGUUGAACCGCACCGUUAUUUAAAACUUUUGCUAUCUGGUGGCACAACUGCCUGUUUUUAGAAAGUAGCUAACUAUCAUUGAUAAAAUGCUAAUAUACAGUAUAACUCCAACGGUUUGUCCCACCAGAAAACGGCGGAUUGAGUAGGAUUCAAUUACAUGAAAAAUACAAGUAAAACGGGCGAAGGCCCUUCGUCGGGAAGUUAGUAACAUGGAUUGGAAAAAUACAUGCCCUUUUAUAUACUAGUGAAUUUAAUUUAAAAGCGAUAACGUGCGUGACAAAAGAUAAAACAAUCAGAUGGAUUUGGUCAAAAUAAAGUGUAGCCAAAAGAUGUAAAUCACAUUACAGAAAAUAUUACUAUUAAGGAAAAGGAAAGAAAGCAACGGAAUAGUUAAAAAAAUGGAAAUAAGGAAACUAGUAAGAAAUAAAGUGAUUGAAGUUAGGCAAGGACAGAUACAGUAUACCCAAACAUAAGACAAAUGUUCAUAUAUACCACAGGGGUCGACAUUACUUAGCUUGGAAAUGAGGACAGGCGCAUUUCAUGUUUUUUUUCGGCUAUCAUUGCUAACAGAAAUAGGACAGCGCGCGGGCUCGAAUUUUCAUGUCGGAAACACUGAUUGCCACUAUUAAAAUGUCUGGUAACAGGCUGGUUGGCAUCGUUAUCAGUGACAGAAUGCCGAUCCUCAACAAACCUUGUCUUCAAUGUCUUUACUGUAUGAGAUGUAGUACAUGAGAUGGGGAGGGGAGGCGGGUUACCCGGACAUUUUUCGGAAAGACACUUUGCGGAAAGACAUUUUGCCGAAAGACAUUUUGCCGAACGGACAUUUUGCCGACGGACGUUUUGCCGAACGGACAGUUUGCCGAAUGGACAACUUGCCGAAAAUAG